CAUCCUUGUUUUGAACAGUUGCAACAAACUUUAUCCAGUCUUGUGAUGAUCUCAGAAAAGGUUGGUCUGACAACAGGUUCUGAAUGCCAACAUUCAUCAAUCAACCUACAUGAAGAUCAAGAUGAUUCCCAAAAAAAUUAAGCUACUCCCUUGAGGUUGUUCCUCUCAUUUCUAUGAGCAAGACAAUAGUGAAUCAAGCUUAAGAAGAGAUUGGAAAACUAAGUAAAACAUGAGAAACUAAUAGCUCAAGCCCUGUCUCUAGCUGGUUUUAGGGAACUGCCUUUACUUGAUCAAUAUCGAAUUUGAAUAAGCAGUCGUUUUCUAGAUCCAAUGUACCAUUCUUGGUUCUGGGAAAACUUCCUAUUCAAUUUGCAAAAGAAAUUGAAGACAUAAUCCAAAACUUACUCUUUUAAAUCUGGAGGGUAACUUCUUGCUUUGAUCUUGAAUGGCGGUCUCUUUUUCUCUAAGCACAUCAACUUCACGGCCUCUUCAGGAGGUUUAGGAUGGAAAGGCUGCACUCCCUCAAGCAUCU
rnacentral:lncRNA from 1 species